GGAAAAUAGCUCAGUGGUUGGGCAUCUGCUUUGGGCGCAGAUGGUUCCAGGUUCAAUCCCCAGCAUCUCCA